rnacentral:rRNA from 1 species
UACAGAGGUCUCAAGCGUUGUUCGGAUUCAUUGGGCGUAAAGAGCGCGUAGGCGGUCCGAUAAGUCGGCUGUGAAAGUCAAGGGCUCAACCCUUGAAAGCCGGCCGAUACUGUCGGACUAGAGUCCGGAAGAGGCAAGUGGAAUUCCCGGUGUAGCGGUGAAAUGCGCAGAUAUCAGGAGGAACACCAAUUGCGAAGGCAGCUCGCUGGGACGUAACUGACGCUGAGACGCGAAAGCGUGGGGAGCAAACAGG